GAUGAACGCUGGCGGCGUGCUUAACACAUGCAAGUCGAACGGAAAGGCUCCUGCUUGCAGGGGUACUCGAGUGGCGAACGGGUGAGUAACACGUGGGUGAUCUGCCCUGCACUUCGGGAUAAGCCUGGGAAACUGGGUCUAAUACCGGAUAGGACGAUGGUUUGGAUGCCAUUGUGGAAAGUUUUUCGGUGUGGGAUGAGCUCGCGGCCUAUCAGCUUGUUGGUGGGGUAAUGGCCUACCAAGGCGUCGACGGGUAGCCGGCCUGAGAGGGUGUACGGCCACAUUGGGACUGAGAUACGGCCCAGACUCCUACGGGAGGCAGCAGUGGGGAAUAUUGCACAAUGGGCGCAAGCCUGAUGCAGCGACGCCGCGUGGGGGAUGACGGCCUUCGGGUUGUAAACUCCUUUCGCUAGGGACGAAGCGCAAGUGACGGUACCUGGAGAAGAAGCACCGGCUAACUAUGUG
rnacentral:rRNA from 1 species